CUCUACGAGCUUCGCUGAAACUUUUGGAGUUUCUUGUUUCGCAACGUCUGGGAAAGCCAUUCCGAAUCCAGAUCGUCAAUCCUAAUGGGGACGAGAAUUUAAUAUCUACAAUUCACGAAAUGGCCACUGAUAGUCGUCAGGAUGAACCCUUUGGGAAAUGCCUACGCAUCCCUCGGGAGUUGCUGCUGUCUU
rnacentral:ribozyme from 1 species